AUACUUACCUGGCAGGGGAGAUACCAUGAUCAUGAAGGUGGUUUCCUCACGGUGAGGCUUAUCCGUUGCACUCUGGAUGUGCUGACCCCUGCAGUUUCUUCAAAUGUGGUAAACUCGACUGCAUAAUUUGUAGUAGUGAAGGGACUGUGUUCACGCUUUCCACUG
ensembl:snRNA U1 U1 spliceosomal RNA